rnacentral:rRNA from 1 species
GACGAACGCUGGCGGCGUGCUUAACACAUGCAAGUCGAACGGUGAAGCGCCUUCCUUUUUGGUGGGUGUGGAUGAGUGGCGAACGGGUGAGUAACACGUGAGUAACCUGCCCCCUUCUUCUGGAUAACCGCAUGAAAGUGUGGCUAAUACGGGAUAUUCUGGGUCUGUCGCAUGAUGGGUCUGGGAAAGAUAUUGUUUCGGUGGGGGAUGGGCUCGCGGCCUAUCAGCUUGUUGGUGGGGUGAUGGCCUACCAAGGCGGGGACGGGUAGCCGGCCUGAGAGGGUGGACGGUCACACUGGGACUGAGACACGGCCCAGACUCCUACGGGAGGCAGCAGUGGGGAAUAUUGCACAAUGGGCGCAAGCCUGAUGCAGCGACGCCGCGUGAGGGAUGGAGGCCUUCGGGUGGUGAACCUCUUUCGCCAGUGAAGCAGGCCUGCCUCGUUUGUGGGUGGGUUGACGGUAGCUGGAUAAGAAGCGCCGGCUAACUACGU